CCCAUUUAUUAAUUAAAUAAACUUUCCUAUCACCGUAUACAUCUCUAAAACCCUAACAGCAUCACGCGGCAAUGAUUAUGCUUAUUCUCUUCUUGGUAAAGUUUGUUCUUCCGAUUCAUACUUUUCAUUGUGUUAGUAAAGAUUUUGUGUUGAAUAACUCGAUAAAUUUUGUUCUUCCUGGUAUUUUCAGAACUUCAUGAUUCCUUACACCCAUAAAACUUCUCUCCCUUUAGUCUCACGGAGAAUAUCUUUCAUCUUCAUUAGGGUUCUUAUUAAUUGAAUCAAUGGGUAAUCACAUGGGAAUAAAAGACUGAAAUAAUUACAUCUAUCGACAUUUAGUUGGAUGCUUAGGGUUAGUUUGGGGGUUUCUUGUGUUCAUUCCUGCCUGAUUUGGGGGGGUUCUUUGUAAAAAUGUUUCCUUUAUUUUGAUGACUUAAAAUAUUAUUGGUUUUUACCUCUCUUUGUUUGUUUGGAUAUCAUAUAUACAGUUUGUUAUUAGCUUAUAGACAAAGACGGAGCUUUAAAUUAUCGAAGAGGUACUUGUGAGUAUAGAGGCGAACCGAAUCAAUGAAGCUUACACUGUAAGUUUGCAACCAUUCAAUGUGAAUUCUUGGUGAUUUCAGGCACAGUGAUGCGAUUUGAAUGACUUUCCUUUUACACUAUCUAUAUAUAUUGAGAGAAAUGAGAUAAUUAGGAGACGAGAGAAAGAACUACAUUAUCGAAGCUUAUACGCUGCACGAAAAGACAUCAAAGGGUAUAUGCAUUAGCCAACUCCAUGACCUUAUUUGAUCAAGUAACAGAAAUGUUCGAAGUCUUUUAAUUAGAUUGUGCAAUAUUUAUGCCAAUUUAUUGAUGAAAUUGGUGUUUUGUGUGAACAUUAAAAAGUCAUGUAAUGCUCUAACUUUAAUAGCUCUACAUGUGUGUCUAUAUUUUGUAUAUGUAAAUACUAAAUAGUUUGUCAUUUGUGUUCUUGAUUCUGAUACAAGU